AUAUAUUUACCUUAAGACUUGGUAAUUGCUUAGUUUUGACCAGAGUUGUCAUGUUCACAAAAGUAAUUGAAUUGGAACUGAAAUUUUCCUUUUAAGAAGUUUGUUAUGUGAUUAUCUUGAAUUGUGGUUGGUUAGAAUGGUUAACAAGCACACACGCACAACAUGGGUGAUGACAGGUUUGGAUUGACUAAUUGGUUAGAGUUAUGGAUUUUAACUUGAUUGGAUAUUUUGUUUGAAUAUCAUUGGUAUCUUUGAGGCCUGUUUCUACAUAUCAUACUGAUUUAUUACUGGGUUUGUAGGUAUAUUAGAAAGUAGAUCAUGCAUAUGCAUUCAUGUAGUUGAGUUAGUUUGUUUAUUUUUAGUUCUUUUGUGUUUUUGCUUGAGGACAAGCAAAUGUUUAAGUUUGGGGGUAUUUGAUGAGUGAGUUUUAUACACAUGAAUUGGAUACAUUCGAGCUUAAUUUAUUGUUGUUCUCAAGUCUUUUAGAAUAGUUUUUAAGUGUUUGUGUCUAUUCAGGCAUGUUUUAUGUUGUUUUGUAGGAAUUGGGACAAAAGUUGACGUUCAAGGUGGCUAGAUUCGCAUUUUUGGCUUGCCAUUUACAUAGCAGUCACUUCAUAGCCAAUUUGAGUAUUUCUCCGGACCUUAUUUCGAAAUCCUUAAAGAAUAAAAGUUGUAGAUCUACGUCUCCUCUUUCCGGAUCAUCUUGAAUCAAUGAAAUCAGAGUUCGAACGAAAACGUUAUGGCCAUUUUCCCAAAGGACGUCGAAGCAGAAAAUGUCAGAACAUGUGGCAGCGCCGGGGCGCCCAAAAUAUGCUUAUGCCCAGCGCCGGGGCGCUGGGGGCAGGGUUGCAACGUCAAGCCCAGCGCUGGGGCUCUGGGGAAGGGUUUGGUGAUGGCUUGGACGCGUUUUUGGGUGAAUUUUGACACCUUUUUAACUCCAAAUUGGAUUGGGUUUGUUCCUAAGCUAAAAAUUGGACUUGUAACCUAUAAAUACAUGAUGUAAGGCAUAAAAUAAAUGGAGAUUACAUAGAUUAGACUAGAUUAAACACUCCAUUAAAUUAGAAUCUAAACUCUAGUUCUUAAUUAGCCAUUGAAGAUUGAAGCAAAUUGAAGAACACUGAAGAUCAAGAGCAAGAGGGGAGCAUCAGAU
rnacentral:lncRNA from 1 species